rnacentral:lncRNA from 1 species
CUCUUGAGAGUCAUUUGCUGCCCAUGUUGCUGGGGAGAUUCUGCCUCAGGGCCAGGAGUGGUUUGCUCCUCCCACCCCGGGCCCAGGGCUGCUGGUGGGAGGCCCCAGGGAGGAGCAAGGACUCUAAUGCUUCGUGUGGUGGGAGCCUCAGGACUUUCCCACGUGCGACAGGCACGUUCCUGGGAGCUCGGUGGGAGGAACCCAGCCACGUUGUGUGCUGCGCAAGGAGCCGGCGGCAGGGAGGGGAAAACGGAAAGACGCAGAGGAGGGCAGGUGACAAGAGGCCCACAGAGAGAUGGCUGGGUCUGGGCAGCGGGUGGGAGCAGGAGGGAGGCGGUUAUGGGAGACGUGGAGCAGUGGAGGCCGUCAGAAGUGGGGAUCACAGCUGUGACCUCAUGGAGAGGGACAAGCCCCACAGCUGGGCUGGUGCCAGCUCCACUACCCAGGGCCAACCUGUGUGGCCGUAAAAUUCUCAAGCCUGGAGUGUGUAGAAGGCAGCAGUGCCCUGGCCUGGCCACCCGCGAACCCCUCUGUCCACCCCAUGCUGCGUGGCACAGGGCAGGCGUGGGGCCUCUAGCUGGAGCCUUGAGUGGGUGGAUCCUCGGUGGGGCUUUAAGGCCAACCUGUUUAUGAAAAUGCAUGGGGACUGACUGCAGAUGCACAGACAACUCAGAUGCACAGACGCCCGGACGACGUGGACACCCAGACGAUGUGGACGCACAGACGACAUGGACGCACAGACGAUGUGGAUGCACGGACGACGUAGACACACGGAUGACUCAUCCACAGAUGACUCAGAUGCACGGACACCCAGACGACGCGGACGCACAGACGACGCGGACGCACAGAUGACGUGGACGCACAGAUGACGUGGACGCACGGACGACGUGGAUGCAUGGACGACGUGGACGCACAGAUGACCUGGACGCACGGACGACGUGGACGCACGGAUGACUCAGAUCCCCAGACGACUCAGAUGCACGGACACCCAGAUGACAUGGAUGCACGGACGACUCAGAUCCACAGAUGACUCAAACGCACAGAUGACUGGGAUGCUCAGAUGACCGCUGCUGUGCUGCCACCCCAGGGCUCUCUGGGCGUUUCCUGUGGUUUGGGCACCAGGAGCCUGGGAGUCCCAUGCUGCCCCCAGGGCACUACCUCCUGGGCCCAGCCCUGCAUCCGGUGGCAGGGCUCACCGUCAUCACCCCAACAGUGCAGGGUGGUCUCAGGGACCUCCUCUCAUCAUUGCCAAGAACUGGCUCCAGGAUGUUUCCAUGUGGCCGGCUAGUAUGGCCAAAGUGGACCCUGGCGUGCUGUCCCCUUGGACGCCUCCAGGCCCUGCCCAGCACGUGGGGCUCGUCCAUUCUGUGCCUGACCAUGCUCUGCCAUGCGGGGCCUAGCCCAGCCCCCCAGCCCUGCUGCUUCUCCCCACCCCACCCCCGCCACCUCCACCAAGCCACCAGCAUCCUGCCUGGCCCUACGGACAGCAGGGUCGUCCUGUGUCCAAAAGCCUCCUCCCCCUCAGCCCCUUCACUCGGGUCUCAUGGGGCCCCUCUGUGGCCCCCAGCGCACAAGGCACACACCCACUAUGGGGCCUUUGCACAGCUGUGCCCUCCCCAGGCUCCAGCCCUCACCUCCCCCAGGCUAUUUCUCAGAUGUCCCUUCAGAACUAGAGCCCUUGGGCCCCCAGCCCCAUUGACACGGAACGGGCCCCCUGUUGUAUCUCAGGUCACUGCUGUGGUUGCAGCCACAGGGGCAACACCUGUUACUGCCACAGCGUCCGACCUGGGGCCAGCGUGCAUUCAAACGCACUGCUCUGAGAGGCCAGGACGUCCAUGGGUUGGGCGCAGGGGGCGGCGGUGGGAAAAGGUGUCAGGCACCAUGGGUCCCGACCUGGAGCCCACGUGCCAGCUGCAGAGAUGGGCACUGAAGGCUUUUGAGCA